CAGGCAGGCGUGCCCUCAGCCAAGCGGCCUCGGGCGCAACUUGCGUUCAAAGACUCGAUGGUUCGCGGGAUUCUGCAAUUCACACCAGGUAUCGCAUUUCGCUACGUUCUUCAUCRAKGSGAGAGCMGAGAUAUCCGUUGCCRAGAGUCGUGUGGAUUAAAUAGCAUUGCAACRCGGGGAAGCGGCCAGCAAGCCAGCCGCUGUCUCCGGGUUAGGCACAGUGUUCCUUGACGCCUUCGGCGCCGUGGGUUCUUUUACCCCGAGCCC
rnacentral:rRNA from 1 species